rnacentral:rRNA from 1 species
CAGAGGGGGCAAGCGUUGUUCGGAAUUACUGGGCGUAAAGGGCGCGUAGGCGGCCUGCUAAGUCGAACGUGAAAUCCCUGGGCUCAACCCAGGAACUGCGUCCGAUACUGGUUGGCUUGAAUCCGGGAGAGGGAUGUGGAAUUCCAGGUGUAGCGGUGAAAUGCGUAGAUAUUUGGAGGAACACCGGUGGCGAAGGCGACAUCCUGGACCGGCAUUGACGCUGAGGCGCGAAAGCCAGGGGAGCAAACGGGAUUAGAUACCCCGGUAGUCCUGGCCCUAAACGAUGAAUGCUUGGUGUGGUGGGUAUCGAUCCCUACCGUGCCGAAGCUAACGCAUUAAGCAUUCCGCCUGGGGAGUACGGUCGCAAGGCUG